UGAUUGCAGCCAGUCCCCAGAUGGAGGAGUCCCUGCAGAGCUCAGUCCCUCCUUGCAGAAGACAUUGUAGUCAAAGACCUAAUGAUCUUGAACAGCUGGGAGUAACUGGAAACACCACCACACUGGCCAGACCAACAGUGUCUUCUGCCUGGAGAACCUACAAACAGGAUCAACAGCAUCUAGUGAUGUAGCCGUCAACUGUGGCAUAAUCAGGCUCACCUGAAA